rnacentral:rRNA from 1 species
UACGUAGGCAGCGAGCGUUGUUCGGAAUUACUGGGCGUAAAGAGUGUGUAGGCGGUGCUCUAAGUUCGGUGUGAAAUCUCCUGGCUCAACUGGGAGGGUGCGCCGGAAACUGGAGUGCUUGAGCGUGGGAGAGGAAAGCGGAAUUCCUGGUGUAGCGGUGAAAUGCGUAGAUAUCGUAAGGAAGACCAGUGGCGAAGGCGGGUCUCUGGACAGUUCCUGACGCUGAGGCACGAAG